rnacentral:rRNA from 1 species
GAUGAACGCUGGCGGCGUGCCUAAUACAUGCAAGUCGAGCGAACAGAUGAGGAGCUUGCUCCUCUGACGUUAGCGGCGGACGGGUGAGUAACACGUGGAUAACCUACCUAUAAGACUGGGAUAACUUCGGGAAACCGGAGCUAAUACCGGAUAAUAUAUUGAACCGCAUGGUUCAAUAGUGAAAGACGGUUUUGCUGUCACUUAUAGAUGGAUCCGCGCCGCAUUAGCUAGUUGGUAAGGUAACGGCUUACCAAGGCAACGAUGCGUAGCCGACCUGAGAGGGUGGUCGGCCACACUGGAACUGAGACACGGUCCAGACUCCUACGGGAGGCAGCAAUAGGGAAUCUUCCGCAAUGGGCGAAAGCCUGACGGAGCAACGCCGCGUGAGUGAUGAAGGUCUUCGGAUCGUAAAACUCUGUUAUUAGGGAAGAACAAAUGUGUAAGUAACUAUGCACGUCUUGACGGUACCUAAUCAGAAAGCCACGGCUAACUACGUG